GUUAAGACUUCAACAAUAGACAGGUGUCUACACAAAAAGUUAAGACUUCAACAAUAGACAGUUGUCUACACAAAAAGUUAAGACUUCAACAAUAGACAGUUGUCUACACAAAAAGUUAAGACUUCAACAAUAGACAGUUGUCUACACAAAAAGUUAAGACUUCAACAAUAGACAGUUGUCUACACAAAAAGUUAAGACUUCAACAAUAGACAGUUGUCUACACAAAAAGUUAAGACUUCAACAAUAGACAGUUGUCUACACAAAAAGUUAAGACUUCAACAAUAGACAGGUGUCUACACAAAAAGUUAAGACUUCAACAAUAGACAGUUGUCUACACAAUAAGUU